rnacentral:rRNA from 1 species
GAUGAACGCUGGCGGCGCGCCUAACACAUGCAAGUCGAACGAUUAAAGCACCUUCGGGUGUGUAUAAAGUGGCGAACGGCUGAGUAACACGUGGGCAACCUGCCCCUUUCAUUGGGAUAGCCACGGGAAACCGUGGAUAAUACCGAAUACUUCGAGACUUCCGCAUGGAAGACUCGAGAAAGCUCCGGCGGAGAGGGAUGGGCCCGCGGCCUGUUAGCUUGUUGGUGGGGUAACGGCCUACCAAGGCAAUGAUGGGUAGCUGGGUUGAGAGACCGACCAGCCAGAUUGGGACUGAGACACGGCCCAGACUCCUACGGGAGGCAGCAGUGGGGAAUCUUGCACAGUGGGCGAAAGCCUGAUGCAGCGACGCCGCGUGCGGGAUGAAGGCCUUCGGGUUGUAAACCGCUUUCAGCAGGAACGAGGCGAAAGUGACGGUACCUGCAGAAGAAGCCCCGGCUAACUACGUG